GUCCAUUUUGAGAUUUCUUAUGGCCAUUUGUUGGUUUUGUUACGGGAGUAUACUUAUGUGUAUAAGACUAUACGAUGUUGGGUAAUUUUUUUUAUAAAAUUCUGUGGUGAAGGUGUAAAGUUUCUUUUUAAUUACCUAACGCAGGGGUAGUGAUUGGAUGUUCAUAUGUGGGAUUUUCAUAUGUAUUUGAGUUAUUAUUUGAACCAAUGUUUUUUUUUCUGCCUUGUUAUGCAUACAUUAAUUUUGAAGUUCUUGUCAUUAUCCAUUAAGCACCGACUUUAUGCCAUAAUUUUCAUUUGAUUUGGUGCUUGAAUUUUGAUGCAUAUAUAUCGUGUGUUUCUACUCUCUUUUUUUUUUUAGCUGGGUAGUAUUUAUUGUGUGGUUGAGAUUCUUUGGAAGCUUAACUUUUUAAUAUAUUACUACUUGGUUAUCAAUUUUAUUAAACGUAGUUAUAUUCGGUUUAAUUCUUGUACUAAUUUUUUUUUCAUUUACCGUUGAACUUAAAUAUCUUCUAGGCAAAAAAAAUGUUCUAGUCAUUCUGUAUUUUGAAUUAACCAACACAGACUAUAAUAAUUAUAAAAAUUUGAAGGUUAAGAACUAACAAUUUGUAUUUUGUGUAUGAAAG
rnacentral:lncRNA from 1 species